CAAAGAAUAGUUUAAUAUAAAAUAUUAAUUUUGGAGAUUAAUGAUAAGAUUUUCUUUUCUUUGA
rnacentral:tRNA from 1 species